AGAGACAGCAGCCGCCGCGGUAAUACAGAGGGUGCGAGCGUUAAUCGGAUUUACUGGGCGUAAAGCGUGCGUAGGCGGCUUUUUAAGUCGGAUGUGAAAUCCCUGAGCUUAACUUAGGAAUUGCAUUCGAUACUGGGAAGCUAGAGUAUGGGAGAGGAUGGUAGAAUUCCAGGUGUAGCGGUGAAAUGCGUAGAGAUCUGGAGGAAUACCGAUGGCAAAGGCAGCCAUCUGGCCUAAUACUGACGCUGAGGUACGAAAGCAUGGGGAGCAAACAGGAUUAGAUACCCCAGUAGUCCCUGUCUCUUAUAA
rnacentral:rRNA from 1 species